rnacentral:rRNA from 1 species
ACGGGUGAGUAACGCGUGGGAAUGUACCCUUUAGUUCAGAAUAACUACGGGAAACUGUAGCUAAUACUGGAUACGCCCUUUUUGGGGAAAGAUUUAUCGCUAAAGGAACAGCCCGCGUUAGAUUAGGUAGUUGGUGAGGUAACGGCUCACCAAGCCGACGAUCUAUAGCUGGUUUGAGAGGAUGAUCAGCCACACUGGGACUGAGACACGGCCCAGACUCCUACGGGAGGCAGCAGUGGGGAAUAUUGGACAAUGGGGGCAACCCUGAUCCAGCAAUACCGCGUGAGUGAAGAAGGCCUUCGGGUUGUAAAGCUCUUUUACCGGGGAAGAUGAUGACGGUACCCGGGGAAUAAGCUCCGGCUAACUUCGUGCCAGCAGCCGCGGUAAUACGAAGGGAGCUAGCGUUGUUCGGAAUUACUGGGCGUAAAGGGCGCGUAGGCGGCCUUAUAAGUCAGAUGUGAAAGCCCCGGGCUUAACCUGGGAACUGCAUUUGAUACUGCAAGGCUAGAGAUCGAGAGAGGAAAGUGGAAUUACGAGUGUAGAAGUGAAAUUCGUAGA